GGGUCCUCAAAGAGUUAAAACCUCUCCUCGCCAGACUGUGAAUUCUCCCUGACUCUCCCCACCCCGCCCCCUCCACCCAGCCAAACAACAGCUUGACAUUUUCCAUGCUUCACGGGAAAGACAAAGCCGGGAAGAUAUUCCCAUGAUCCCUUUCUGCAAGCCUCACCGCGAGCUCAGGUGUUGCGCUGUUUGGCCUGCGCCGGCCCCAUCAACAUGAAGGGCGAACUCAUCCCUCUGCACCCUUUUCUCACCGCUGCUUGAUUAAUUGGCUGAGCACUACGCCGGCAGAAUACCUAAUGCCUCUCCUUCCCCUCGGUCUUCCUUCACAGUUUUUUUUUCCUCCUUUGCGGCAUUUACAUAUACUUUAUAUUCCAUAAUUUUCACCCAAAAAGAGAGAGAGGGAGAGAGAGAGCGAGAGCCCAUCUCAAUAAUUUGAUGUAAUGACGGCAUGUCACCAAAAAGAGGAAUUAGAAAAAUCUGGUGUGAAGGGCCGCUGAAUCUGUCCAGAUCGUCCGCCGAUUGUGGUAAAGAUUGUCAUUAUUACUAUAAACAAUGCUGCAUAUUCUUAUUUUCCCAUUACACUGUAAUUGGGGCCAAAUUUCUGUCUAAUAAGCCGCACACAUCUUAUCUGCACAGCCCCUGUUCACGCCCCGACUGAAUCAAGAGACAGACAUCCCGGCACCGGAGACGGAGCUCCUGUGUCCCUCCCACCAAGGCCACGCGCCCCUGGCCGAAGACACCAUCUUCUGACUUCCGGCAGGUACUGAAGAUCAGUUUUGCUGAUUCUCGAACAUUAUGUUAAUGGUGUC
rnacentral:lncRNA from 1 species